GCCGAAGUGGCGGAAUUGGCAGACGCGUUGGAUUCAAAAUCCAGUGGCCUUUGCGGGCCGUAUGGGUUCGAGCCCCAUCUUCGGCA
rnacentral:tRNA from 1 species